rnacentral:misc_RNA from 1 species
UCCGAGUUGACCCCGGCAGUCUCCUACGAGUCCCCACCAUUACGUGCUGGCAACAUAGGACAAGGGUUGCGCUCGUUGCGGGACUUAACCCAACAUCUCACGACACGAGCUGACGACAACCAUGCACCACCUGUGUGGGACCCCGAAGGACACCGUAUCUCUACGGCUUUUCCCCACAUGUCAAGCCCAGGUAAGGUUCUUCGCGUUGCGUCGAAUUAAACCACACGCUCCGCUGCUUGUGCGGGCCCCCGUCAAUUCCUUUGAGUUUCAGCCUUGCGGCCGUACUCCCCAGGCGGGGCACUUAAUGCGUUAGCGCCGGCCCUCGGGGGGUCGCUCCCCCAAGCGCCUAGUGCCCAUCGUUUACGGCGUGGACUAC